rnacentral:rRNA from 1 species
CCUACGGGAGGCAGCAGUGAGGAAUAUUGGUCAAUGGCCGGAAGGCUGAACCAGCCAAGCCGCGUGAAGGACGAAGGUGCCAAGCAUUGUAAACUUCUUUUGUCAAGGGACAAAAUCAGGCUCGAGAGCCUGACCGAGGGUACUUGAAGACAAAGCAUCGGCUAACUCCGUGCCAGCAGCCGCGGUAAUACGGAGGAUGCGAGCGUUAUCCGGAUUUAUUGGGUUUAAAGGGUGCGUAGGCGGACUGUUAAGUCAGCGGUAAAAGCCCGGGGCUCAACCCCGGCGAGCCGUUGAAACUGGCGGUCUUGAGAUGUCGAGAGGUAUGCGGAAUGCGCAGUGUAGCGGUGAAAUGCUUAGAUAUUGCGCAGAACUCCGAUUGCGAAGGCAGCAUACCGGCGGCGAUCUGACGCUGAGGCACGAAAGCGUGGGUAUCGAACAGGAUUAGAUACCCGGGUAGUC